rnacentral:rRNA from 1 species
GACGAACGCUGGCGGCGUGCCUAAUACAUGCAAGUCGAACGGUCUUUUCUAUGGAAGCUUGCUUCCACUGAGAAGAUAGUGGCGAACGGGUGAGUAACACGUGGGUAACCUGCCCAUAAGAGGGGGAUAACAUCCGGAAACGGGUGCUAAUACCGCAUAGUUUUCUUGAUCGCAUGAUUGAGAAAGGAAAGACGGCCUUUGUGCUGUCGCAUAUGGAUGGACCGGCGGCGUAUUAGUUAGUUGGUGAGGUAACGGCUCACCAAGACGAUGAUACGUAGCCGACCUGAGAGGGUGAUCGGCCACAUUGGGACUGAGACACGGCCCAAACUCCUACGGGAGGCAGCAGUAGGGAAUCUUCCGCAAUGGACGAAAGUCUGACGGAGCAACGCCGCGUGAGUGAAGAAGGUUUUCGGAUCGUAAAACUCUGUUGUCAGGGAAGAACAAGUACCGGAGUAACUGCCGGUACCUUGACGGUACCUGACCAGAAAGCCACGGCUAACUACGUGCCAGCAGCCGCCGUAACAC